UACAGAGGGUGCUAGCGUUGUUCGGAAUCAUUGGGCGUAAAGGGCGUGUAGGCGGUUUGUUAAGUCAUGUGUGAAAUCCCUCGGCUCAACCGGGGAACGACGCAUGAAACUGGCAAGCUAGAGUACCAAAGAGGGGGGUGGAAUUCCCGGUGUAGCGGUGAAAUGCGUAGAUAUUCGGAAGAACACCAGUGGCGAAGGCGGCUCACUGGACCGGCAUUGACGCUGAGGUGCGAAAGCGUGGGGAGCAAACAGG
rnacentral:rRNA from 1 species